rnacentral:rRNA from 1 species
UNUGAAGUUAAAGGCUGUGGCUUAACCAUAGUACGCUUUGGAAACUGUUUAACUUGAGUGCAGAAGGGGAGAGUGGAAUUCCAUGUGUAGCGGUGAAAUGCGUAGAUAUAUGGAGGAACACCGGUGGCGAAAGCGGCUCUCUGGUCUGUAACUGACGCUGAGGCUCGAAAGCGUGGGGAGCGAACAGGAUUAGAUACCCUGGUAGUCCACGCCGUAAACGAUGAGUGCUAGGUGUUAGGCCCUUUCCGGGGCUUAGUGCCGCAGCUAACGCAUUAAGCACUCCGCCUGGGGAGUACGACCGCAAGGUUGAAACUCAAAGGAAUUGACGGGGGCCCGCACAAGCGGUGGAGCAUGUGGUUUAAUUCGAAGCAACGCGAAGAACCUUACCAGGUCUUGACAUCCCGAUGCCCGCUCUAGAGAUAGAGUUUUACUUCGGUACAUCGGUGACAGGUGGUGCAUGGUUGUCGUCAGCUCGUGUCGUGAGAUGUUGGGUUAAGUCCCGCAACGAGCGCAACCCUUAUUGUUAGUUGCCAUCAUUCAGUUGGGCACUCUAGCGAGACUGCCGGUAAUAAACCGGAGGAAGGUGGGCAUGACGUCAAAUCAUCAUGCCCCUUAUGACCUGGGCUACACACGUGCUACAAUGGCUGGUACAACGAGUCGCAAGUCGGUGACGGCAAGCUAAUCUCUUAAAGCCAGUCUCAGUUCGGAUUGUAGGCUGCAACUCGCCUACAUGAAGUCGGAAUCGCUAGUAAUCGCGGAUCAGCACGCCGCGGUGAAUACGUUCCCGGGCCUUGUACACACCGCCCGUCACACCACGAGAGUUUGUAACACCCGAA